rnacentral:rRNA from 1 species
AACGAACGCUGGCGGCAUGCCUAACACAUGCAAGUCGAACGAGAUCUUCGGGUCUAGUGGCGCACGGGUGCGUAACGCGUGGGAAUCUGCCCUUUGGUUCGGAAUAACAGUUGGACACGACUGCUAAUACCGGCAGAUGACGACAGUCCAAAGAUUUAUCGCCAGAGGAUGAGCCCGAGGAGGAUUCGCUAAUUGGUGUGGUAAAGGCGCACCAAGGCGACGAUCCUUAGCUGGUCUGAGAGGAUGAUCAGCCACACUGGGACUGAGACACGGCCCAGACUCCUACGGGAGGCAGCAGUGGGGAAUAUUGGACAAUGGGCGAAAGCCUGAUCCAGCAAUGCCGCGUGAGUGAUGAAGGCCUUAGGGUUGUAAAGCUCUUUUACCCGGGAUGAUAAUGACAGUACCGGGAGAAUAAGCUCCGGCUAACUCCGUGCCAGCAGCCGCCGUAA